AUACUUACCUGGCAGGGGAGAUACCAUGAUCACGAAGGUGGUUUUCCCAGGGCGAGGCUUAUCCAUUGCACUCCGGAUGUGCUGACCCCUGCGAUUUCCCCAAAUGAAAUGUGGGAAACUGCAUAAUUUGUGGUAGUGGGGGACUGCGUUCGCGCUUUCCCCUG
rnacentral:snRNA from 1 species